rnacentral:rRNA from 1 species
GAUGAACGCUGGCGGCGUGCCUAAUACAUGCAAGUCGAGCGAACAGACGAGGAGCUUGCUCCUCUGACGUUAGCGGCGGACGGGUGAGUAACACGUGGAUAACCUACCUAUAAGACUGGGAUAACUUCGGGAAACCGGAGCUAAUACCGGAUAAUAUAUUGAACCGCAUGGUUCAAUAGCGAAAGACGGUUUUGCUGUCACUUAUAGAUGGAUCCGCGCCGCAUUAGCUAGUUGGUAAGGUAACGGCUUACCAAGGCAACGAUGCGUAGCCGACCUGAGAGGGUGAUCGGCCACACUGGAACUGAGACACGGUCCAGACUCCUACGGGAGGCAGCAGUAGGGAAUCUUCCGCAAUGGGCGAAAGCCUGACGGAGCAACGCCGCGUGAGUGAUGAAGGUCUUCGGAUCGUAAAACUCUGUUAUUAGGGAAGAACAAAUGUGUAAGUAACUAUGCACGUCUUGACGGUACCUAAUCACAAAGCCACGGCUAACUACGUG